UGCCCCAUGGCUGAGUUGGUUACAGCCUCCGACUGUUAUGCAGCCAGGACAAUAUUAGCAAUCGGAAGGUUGUGAGUUCGAGCCUCACUGGGGCAG